GUGGUGGAAUAAGUGAAAGAAUUUUGUUUAAAUAAAGUUAUAUAGGAAUUAUGUCGUUAAAUUAAAUUAAAUUAAUUAAUUAAGAGAAAUUAUAAAGAAAGUAUUGUGAGAGAAGGCGGAGUAAAAGGGGGAAAGUAGGUUUAAUUUAGUGUACCUUUUGUAUCAGGGGUUAUUAAGAGAUAAUUUAUGUAUAUAUAAAUUUCCCGAAGUUAAAAGAGCGAAUAGGAUAUGAUAGUUAAUGUUGCAUAAUUAUUAUAAAUAUUUUAUUAGAGAAUAUAUUUUAAGCAAUUUUAAGGAUAUCUGGUUUUUUUUGAUUUAAAUUUAAUUUAAAUUUAAGGGUUAAUAUUUAUAUUUAAGUGGUGAUAGAGAUAUUGAUAAUUAAGUGAAGAAAUUACGGGAUAACCUGUAAUUUUUAUUAAAAUUGGGGGAGUUAAUGUUAUGUAGGAAUAUUCAUAGAAUUUGAAAUUUCUAAAAAAAAUUUAAUAAUUUAUAAGUUAGGGGGGUGUAAGUAAAUUAUGAAGAAUUUAAAGGAUAGAUUUAAUUGUAUAAAAAAAGAAUUAUUAUAAUAAUUUUUAAAUAAAUAAAUAAUGAUAAUAUUAGUAAAAUUAUAAAAAAUUUAAAAUGUAUAAAAAUAUAAAAUUAGUUUUAGGAAUUAGGCAAGAAUUAAGUUCACCUGUUUAUUAAAAACAUGGUUUUUUGAAUAUAAUUUAAAAUCGUUUCUGCCCACUGAAUUAGAGUUUAAAUGGCUGCAGUAUCUUAACUGUACAAAGGUAGCAUAAUCAAUAGUUUUUUAAAUGGAAACUGGGAUGAAAGAAGUGAUGAGAUUUAUACUGUCUUAAAUUAAAUUAUUGAAUUUAUAAAUUAAGUAAAAAUACUUAAAUAAGAACAUGGGACGAGAAGACCCUAUAGAAUUUUAUAUAAAUUUAAAAAAAAGGUAGAUGUGAAAUUUUGAAUUUAUAUUUUAUUGGGAGGAUAGUUAAAUUAAGUAAACUUUAAAAAAUAUUUGUCAUUAAUGUAUGAUUUAAAAUAAGGAAUGAUCAGUAAGUUAAAGUAGAAUUAAUUACCUUAGGGAUAACAGCGUUAUAUUUUUGGAGAGAUCAUAUCAAUAAAAAUGUUUGCGACCUCGAUGUUGAAUUAAGAUAAAAAUUAAAUGAAGGAAUUUAAUAUUUAAGUCUGUUCGACUUUUGAAAUCUUACAUGAUUUGAGUUUAGAUCGGCGUGAGCCAGAUCGGUUUCUAUCUAUGUUAAUUUUAAGGAUAUUUGUACGAAAGGACUUUAUUUUUUAGUUUUAUUAAUUUAAAUAAAGGAUUAAAGAUUUAGA
rnacentral:rRNA from 1 species